rnacentral:rRNA from 1 species
UCGAAUCGCAUGGCCUUGUGCUGGCGAUGGUUCANUCAAAUUUCUGCCCUAUCAACUUUCGAUGGUAGGAUAGUGGCCUACCAUGGUUUCAACGGGUAACGGGGAAUAAGGGUUCGAUUCCGGAGAGGGAGCCUGAGAAACGGCUACCACAUCCAAGGAAGGCAGCAGGCGCGCAAAUUACCCAAUCCCGACACGGGGAGGUAGUGACAAUAAAUAACGAUACAGGGCCCUUUCGGGUCUUGUAAUUGGAAUGAGUACAAUGUAAAUACCUUAACGAGGAACAAUUGGAGGGCAAGUCUGGUGCCAGCAGCCGCGGUAAUUCCAGCUCCAAUAGCGUAUAUUAAAGUUGUUGCAGUUAAAAAGCUCGUAGUUGAACCUUGGGCUUGGUUGGCCGGUCCGCCUUUUUGGCGAGUACUGGACCCAACCGAGCCUUUCCUUCUGGCUAACCUUUCGCCCUUGUGGUGUUUGGCGAACCAGGACUUUUACUUUGAAAAAAUUAGAGUGUUCAAAGCAGGCCUUUGCUCGAAUAUAUUAGCAUGGAAUAAUAGAAUAGGACGUUAUGGUUCUAUUUUGUUGGUUUCUAGGACCAUCGUAAUGAUUAAUAGGGACGGUCGGGGGCAUCAGUAUUCAGUUGUCAGAGGUGAAAUUCUUGGAUUACCUGAAGACUAACUACUGCGAAAGCAUUUGCCAAGGACGUUUUCAUUAAUCAAGAACGAAAGUUAGGGGAUCGAAGAUGAUCAGAUACCGUCGUAGUCUUAACCAUAAACUAUGCCGACUAGGGAUCGGGUGUUGUUC